GCCUUGCGGAAGCCGCGGUCCUCCCGCUUCCCCCCCCCGCCCACGACUCAGUACGGCCCCAACAAAAUGAGCCCGAGCCCCAGCCCAGGCUCCCACGUCCUCGAGUGCAAGGGAUGCCCGCGUCACCCCGGUUCGUGAAAGCGAAGCGAGAGUCAGCCUCCGAAUUUCCACUAAAAGUGCGCGGGAGCGGAAGCUCCAGACAGGCGCUUUAACCAGCUAAGCCACGGCGCCGCCGGAAAACCCCUCGCUUCUGGAGAUAGAUCAGUCACUCAAGGGAGUCAGUCCCGAGCCGGAGGGUUAACUCUCCGCCCCUCCCGUCUCCCGCACCUCGGGGGCCCAACUCGACCACGAAUGGGUGCUUGACCUCACGUCCCGCAGCCCCCCUGGACUGGGCCCUCUCCUGCGUGGUGACACGGUGACGGAGCAGCUGAACACCCUCACCGGCUUCGGGGUCCCCGCAGGCUGGGCCGGCUCUCCAGCCGCCCCCCGCCCUGCUUCCCACGACAUACCCCGCUGACUCAAGGUGACA